rnacentral:rRNA from 1 species
GACGAACGCUGGCGGCGUGCUUAACACAUGCAAGUCGAACGGAAAGGCCCUGCUUUUGUGGGGUGCUCGAGUGGCGAACGGUGAGUAACACGUGAGUAACCUGCCCUUGACUUUGGGAUAACUUCAGGAAACUGGGGCUAAUACCGGAUAGGAGCUCCUGCUGCAUGGUGGGGUUGGAAAGUUUCGGCGGUUGGGGAUGGACUCGCGGCUUAUCAGCUUGUUGGUGGGGUAGUGGCUUACCAAGGCUUUGACGGGUAGCCGGCCUGAGAGGGUGACCGGCCACAUUGGGACUGAGAUACGGCCCAGACUCCUACGGGAGGCAGCAGUGGGGAAUAUUGCACAAUGGGCGGAAGCCUGAUGCAGCAACGCCGCGUGCGGGAUGACGGCCUUCGGUGUAACGACUUCGUCCUCGUGACGAAGCGUGAGUG